GCGACUUACAUUCAGUGGCAAGCUUAACCGAAUAGGGGAGGCGAAGAGAAAUCGAGUCCGAAUAGGGCGACUAGUCGCUGGGUGUAGACCCGAAACCAAGUGAUCUAUCCAUGGCCAGGAUGAAGGUGCCGUAACAGGUACUGGAGGUCCGAACCGACUAGUGUUGCAAAACUAGCGGAUGAGCUGUGGAUAGGGGUGAAAGGCUAAACAAACUUGGAAAUAGCUGGUUCUCUCCGAAAACUAUUUAGGUAGUGCCUCAAGUAUUACCUGCGGGGGUAGAGCACUGUUUAGGCUAGGGGGUCAUGGCGACUUACCAAACCUAUGCAAACUCCGAAUACCGCAGAGUACAGCUUGGGAGACAGAGCACCGGGUGCUAACGUCCGGACUCAAGAGGGAAACAACCCAGACCGCCAGCUAAGGUCCCUAAAAUUGGCUAAGUGGGAAACGAAGUGGGAAGGCUAAAACAGUCAGGAUGUUGGCUUAGAAGCAGCCAUCAUUUAAAGAAAGCGUAAUAGCUCACUGAUCGAGUCGUCCUGCGCGGAAGAUGUAACGGGGCUAAGCCAGUUACCGAAGCUGCGGAUUUGCAAUUUAUUGCAAGUGGUAGGAGAGCGUUCUGUAAGCCUGUGAAGGUGCCUGGUAACGGGUGCUGAGGUAUCAGAAGUGCGAAUGCUGACAUGAGUAGCGUUAAAGGGGGUGAAAAGCCCCCUCGCCGUAAGCGCAAGGUUUCCUACGCAACGUUCAUCGGCGUAGGGUGAGUCGGCCCCUAAGGCGAGGCAGAGAUGCGUAGCUGAUGGGAAACAGGUCAAUAUUCCUGUACCGAUAUACAGUGCGAUGUGGGGACGGAUCUUAAUAGGUCAUCCGGGUGUUGGAUAUCCCGGUUUAGUUGGAUGUAGGCGUGCAUUAGGCAAAUCCGGUGCACAUAUACCGAGGCCAACGAUCGAGCGAGCUUGCUCGCGAAGUGACUGAACGAGGUUCCAGGAAAAGCCACUAAGCUUCAGCUGUAUACGACCGUACCGCAAACCGACACUGGUGCGCGAGAUGAGUAUUCUAAGGCGCUUGAGAGAACUCUGGAGAAGGAACUCGGCAAAUUGAUACCGUAACUUCGGGAGAAGGUAUGCCGCAAGUAGGUGAACUUGUACAAAGGGAGCCCAAAGCGGUUGCAAAAAAUCGGUGGCUGCGACUGUUUAAUAAAAACACAGCACUCUGCAAACACGAAAGUGGACGUAUAGGGUGUGACGCCUGCCCGGUGCUGGAAGAUUAAAUGAUGGGGUGCAAGCUCUUGAUUGAAGUCCCAGUAAACGGCGGCCGUAACUAUAACGGUCCUAAGGUAGCGAAAUUCCUUGUCGGGUAAGUUCCGACCUGCACGAAUGGCGUAACGAUGGCCACACUGUCUCCUCCAGAGACUCAGCGAAGUUGAAAUGUUUGUGAUGAUGCAAUCUCCCCGCGGAAAGACGGAAAGACCCCAUGAACCUUUACUGUAGCUUUGUAUUGGAUUUUGAACGGAUCUGUGUAGGAUAGGUGGGAGGCUUUGAAGUGAGGACGCUAGUUCUCAUGGAGCCGACGUUGAAAUACCACCCUGGUGCGUUUGAGGUUCUAACCCAGGUCCCUUAUCGGGAUCGGGGACAGUGCAUGGU
rnacentral:rRNA from 1 species